UAGGGAAUCUUCCGCAAUGGGCGAAAGCCUGACGGAGCAACGCCGCGUGAGUGAUGAAGGUCUUCGGAUCGUAAAACUCUGUUAUUAGGGAAGAACAAAUGUGUAAGUAACUAUGCACGUCUUGACGGUACCUAAUCAGAAAGCCACGGCUAACUACGUGCCAGCAGCCGCGGUAAUACGUAGGUGGCAAGCGUUAUCCGGAAUUAUUGGGCGUAAAGCGCGCGUAGGCGGUUUUUUAAGUCUGAUGUGAAAGCCCACGGCUCAACCGUGGAGGGUCAGUGGAAACUGGAAAACUUGAGUGCAGAAGAGGAAAGUGGAAUUCCAUGUGUAGCGGUGAAAUGCGCAGAGAUAUGGAGGAACACCAGUGGCGAAGGCGACUUUCUGGUCUGUAACUGACGCUGAUGUGCGAAAGCGUGGGGAUCAAACAGG
rnacentral:rRNA from 1 species